rnacentral:rRNA from 1 species
GAUGAACGCUGGCGGCGUGCCUAAUACAUGCAAGUCGAACGAAACUUCUUUAUCACCGAGUGCUUGCACUCACCGAUAAAGAGUUGAGUGGCGAACGGGUGAGUAACACGUGGGCAACCUGCCCAAAAGAGGGGGAUAACACUUGGAAACAGGUGCUAAUACCGCAUAACCAUAGUUACCGCAUGGUAACUAUGUAAAAGGUGGCUAUACUACCGCUUUUGGAUGGGCCCGCGGCGCAUUAGCUAGUUGGUAGGGUAAAGGCUUACCAAGGCAAUGAUGCGUAGCCGAAUUGAGAGGUUGAUCGGCCACAUUGGGACUGAGACACGGCCCAUACUCCUACGGGAGGCAGCAGUAGGGAAUCUUCCGCAAUGGGCGAAAGCCUGAUGGAGCAACGCCGCGUGGGUGAAGAAGGUCUUCGGAUCGUAAAACCCUGUUGUUAGAGAAGAAAGUGCGUGAGAGUAACUGUUCACGCUUCGACGGUAUCUAACCAGAAAGCCACGGCUAACUACGUG